ACUGCUCAGUAACACGUGGACAACCUACCCUUAGGUCAGGAAUAACCCCGGGAAACUGGGAAUAAUACCUGAUAUUGCGCGAAUGCUGGAAUGCUUCGCGCGAGAAAGCUCCGGCGCCUAAGGAUGGGUCUGCGGCCUAUCAGGGUAGUAGUGGGUGUAACGUACCUACUAGCCUACGACGGGUACGGGUUGUGAGAGCAAGAGCCCGGAGAUGGAUUCUGAGACACGAAUCCAGGCCCUACGGGGUGCAGCAGGCGCGAAAACUUUACAAUGCUGGCAACAGCGAUAAGGGGACCUCGAGUGCCAGGAUACAAUCCUGGCUGUCGUAAUGCCUAAAAAGCAUUUCAUAGCAAGGGCCGGGCAAGACCGGUGCCAGCCGCCGCGGUAACACCGGCGGCUCGAGUGGUAACCGCUAUUAUUGGGUCUAAAGGGUCUGUAGCCGGCUGGAUAAGUCUCUUGGGAAAUCCGGCAGCUUAACUGUCGGGCUUUCAGGGGAUACUGUCCGGCUCGAGACCGGGAGAGGUGAGAGGUACUUCAGGGGUAGGGGUGAAAUCUUGUAAUCCUUGAAGGACCACCAGUGGCGAAGGCGUCUCACCAGAACGGAUCUGACGGCAAGGGACGAAAGCUAGGGGCACGAACCGGAUUAGAUACCCGGGUAGUCCUAGCCGUAAACGAUACUCGCUAGGUGUCGGUCACGGUGCGACCGUGGUCGGUGCCGUAGGGAAGCCGUGAAGCGAGCCACCUGGGAAGUACGGCCGCAAGGCUGAAACUUAAAGGAAUUGGCGGGGGAGCAC
rnacentral:rRNA from 1 species